GACGAACCGAGCGAACGUUGUUCGGAAUCACUGGGCUUAAAGGGCGCGUAGGCGGAUUCUCAAGUCCGGGGUGAAAUCCCACAGCUCAACUGUGGAACUGCCUCGGAUACUGGGAGUCUCGAGGGUGGCAGGGGUAUGCGGAACUAUCGGUGGAGCGGUGAAAUGCGUUGAUAUCGAUAGGAACUCCGGUGGCGAAGGCGGCAUACUGGUCCACUUCUGACGCUGAGGCGCGAAAGCCAGGGGAGCAAACGGG
rnacentral:rRNA from 2 species